rnacentral:rRNA from 1 species
GGUAGUCGUACACGGUACCCGUAGCUUUGCACCUGGAACGGUGAACACGGAGCUUGCUCUGUGGGAUCAGUGGCGAACGGGUGAGUAACACGUGAGCAACCUGCCCCUGACUCUGGGAUAAGCGCUGGAAACGGCGUCUAAUACUGGAUAUGUGACGUGACCGCAUGGUCUGCGUUUGGAAAGAUUUUUCGGUUGGGGAUGGGCUCGCGGCCUAUCAGCUUGUUGGUGAGGUAAUGGCUCACCAAGGCGUCGACGGGUAGCCGGCCUGAGAGGGUGACCGGCCACACUGGGACUGAGACACGGCCCAGACUCCUACGGGAGGCAGCAGUGGGGAAUAUUGCACAAUGGGCGCAAGCCUGAUGCAGCAACGCCGCGUGAGGGAUGACGGCCUUCGGGUUGUAAACCUCUUUUAGCAGGGAAGAAGCGAAAGUGACGGUACCUGCAGAAAAAGCGCCGGCUAACUACGUGCCAGCAGCCGCGGUAAUACGUAGGGCGCAAGCGUUAUCCGGAAUUAUUGGGCGUAAAGAGCUCGUAGGCGGUUUGUCGCGUCUGCUGUGAAAUCCCGAGGCUCAACCUCGGGCCUGCAGUGGGUACGGGCAGACUAGAGUGCGGUAGGGGAGAUUGGAAUUCCUGGUGUAGCGGUGGAAUGCGCAGAUAUCAGAGGAACACCGAUGGCGAAGGCAGAUCUCUGGGCCGUAACUGACGCUGAGGAGCGAAAUGGUGGGGAGCAAC